GAAAAGUUAGUUAACUAAUAACAUAAGCCUGUCAUGCUUAAAUUAUCAAAAUAUUGAUACCUUUCA
rnacentral:tRNA from 1 species